rnacentral:rRNA from 1 species
GACUGGAGCACCCGUCCCCACCGCCAGUUGACCCCCUCUGCUCCGGCGACCCCGAUCCCCCGCCCUCCUCCCCCGGGCGGCGAAAUGGCGCCGUGUUGCCCUGCCGAAUCUACCAAGCCGGCCUUCAUCGGGAUAUUCGGCGCCAUCGUCGGCGGAUUCGCCGUCUCCGCUGUUUUCUUCCUCCUUUCUUUCUCCUCUAUCACCGCCCCCGCGCUCCCCUUCCCGGUCGUCACCGCCACCACCACCAACCUCUCUGCUCUCUCCACCCCCGCCCAGCCGGAGACCAUGUACAACCGCCCUAUCUGGAAAUCCCCGGCUCGGGGGUCGCGGAUGCCUUCGCCGCGCGCGUUCCGCCUCACCCGCGACAUGGUGCGCGCCCGCGCCCGCGAUGGGGUCAUCGUCGUCACCUUUGGCAACUACGCCUUCAUGGACUUUAUCCUCACCUGGGUGCGCCACCUCACAGGCCUCGGGGUAGACAAUCUCCUUGUCGGCGCCAUGGACACCAAGUUACUCCGGCAACUCUACCUCACGGGCGUGCCCGUCUUCGACAUGGGCAGCAGGAUGGUCACGGAGGACGUUGGCUGGGGGUCCCCCACCUUCCACAAGAUGGGCAGGGAGAAGGUGCUGCUCAUCAACGAGCUCCUGCCCUUCGGGUACGAACUGCUCAUGUGCGACACGGACAUGGUGUGGCUCAAGAACCCGUUGCCAUAUCUCGCCCGCUACCCCAGUGCGGAUCUCCUCACCUCCAGCGACCAGGUCAUACCCACAGUCACCGACGACAGCCUGGAGAACUGGAGGGAAGUAACUGGGGCAUAUAAUAUUGGUAUUUUCCAUUGGCGACCCACUGAACCUGCUAAAAGGCUGGCAAAAGAUUGGAAAGACCUUGUCAUAUCUGAUGAUAAGAUAUGGGACCAGAAUGCUUUUAAUGAUCUCGUACACACAGUUUUUGGACAACCUGUUCAAGGAGAAGAUGAACUUGUCUACUCAUAUGAUGGAAAAUUGAAGCUUGGAGUCCUACCAGCAAGUAUAUUCUGCAGCGGCCAUACCUACUUUGUGCAGGGCAUGCAUCAGCAGCUUCGGCUAGAACCAUAUGCCGUGCACACUACUUUCCAGUAUGCAGGUACUGAAGGAAAGCGCCAUAGAUUACGGGAGGCAAUGCUUUUCUUUGAUCAACCAUCUUAUUAUGACUCACCAGGAGGUUUCCUAUCAUUUAGGCCUAAUAUUCCCAAACGAAUGCUGUUAGAUGGUGCCCAUACCGUUGAAUCUCAUUUUGCGUUGGUCAAUUACCAGAUGAAGCAAAUAAGAACGGCGUUGGCUAUGGCUUCCUUGUUAAAGCGGACCCUGGCUUGAUAGGAUGUGGUUUGGGCAUCCUGGAGUUAUGGAAGGCACAAUGACUAGACAACCUUUUCUCUGUCCAAUGGAUCAUGUAUUUGAGGUACAUGUUAUGCUGAAGGACUUGCCUGAGGAGGAAUUUGGGCCACGUAUUGAUUUCAGAGAAUACACAUUUCUUGAGAAUCCAUCAUUGCCUAAACAGGUGAAAGAGUCGUUUCUUGAGGUGCGGCUCUGCAAUGAGCAUAGCACCAGAUGCUCCACAGCCAAUGGAACCAAUAAACACAGAGCCCUUCUAUUGCCAAGGAAUAGCACCGAACAAAUGNNNNNNNNNNNNNNNNNAUCGUAUAAGAAUAUCAAGAUCAUACAUUUCUCGUCUAUGGUUGAUGGCUUCAGAGGUUUUGCUGAUGCGGCUGUGGAGACGCAGUUUCGGAAUCGUGUGAAGAGGUAUACAGGAAUAUGGUGUUGUGUUGAGUUCCGUGAAAUUGGGCACAUAUACUAUGACAUGUACUGGGAUGAUAAACCAGGUUGGAAGCCACACCCCCCACAGAAUAGGGAAGAGGACCAUCCACCUUGGGCCUGAAUUUUGAGGUCGGACAAUAGAUCAACCAUGAAAAGGGAUGACAUUCUGUGAUGAAGGCAAGAUAGGUCACACAUUACUGCAGGUUCAUUUUUAACUCCAGAGCAGGCUGCUCCUAUCCGUUGGAAAAAAAUGCUUACUCGAGAAAACAUUUAACUUCCAGUUUUGUAGGCCUGUUCUGUAGAUUAAUUCACUACUGUUCAGUCUGCCCCUUGACCUGUACUUCUUAUCACAUAUGUCCAGAAAAGUUUUCAUGAUAUAGCGUGAGACAACAUUUAAGGUAAUGAUUUGACUAAAAAAGCAUGGCAUCAUGUUCAUAGCCCUCUCAGGCUCUUCAUACUGAAGAUAACUACAGUUGGCUGUGUUUCCCCUGUUCUCGUGUUUUGGAUGCGCUCUGAGACGUCGAUCGUC